CAGUCGUACCUGCGGAUAAUCAGCCUUUAGGAUGCGAUUUUGUGGAGCGUGAGGAGCUAAUUGCCUUCAUGCCUGUAUAUUCGUGUACUUGGGGUGUACUUAUUCGUGUGGUAAGUUAACAUCAAUUUUGGUCGUCAUAAAAUGACUGAAGGAAUGUAGCUUCGAUCUCGUAUUGAAGUGUUAUAGCCUUUGGUAGAUGUGAUUAUCGGGAUUGAGGAUUGCAACGGAUACCCUUCGGGGUUACUUGUCUGAUCUCUGAUCGUUGCUCUGGUGCCGAAAGCGUGCUUACGGUUAUCAAAGUCGAUGGUCAAUAGGUUAGAACGGGUUAAA
rnacentral:rRNA from 1 species